UAACUACUCCCUCCGUUCGGAAUUACUUGUCGCAGAAAUAAAUGUAUCUAGACGUAUUUUAGUUUUUAGAUACAUUCAUUUCCGAGACAAGUAAUUCCGAACGGAGGGAGUACAAG
rnacentral:pre_miRNA from 1 species